rnacentral:lncRNA from 1 species
AUUCGAGUUCUCUCAAGUUCUGCUUGAAGCAACUCAGCGCUACACUGCUGAGCAAGAGCCUGAAAUGCAGAGAGAACAUUAAAAGAAUAGGUGAUAACACAAUUAUAACUUUCUAUUUGUAUGAUUACGGCUGGUGCUAUUAAUUCUAAGCAUAUAGACUAAGCAUAUUAUCUGACCGACAAGGAAUUUGAUUCUUACAAUUAGGUCAUCUGGAGACACAGUCAUGCCCUGCUGCCUGUCAUCAAGUGCAUCCUCGCUCCCACGAGUUGAUCUCCGUUGAUGACCUGGAUUUUCUGCAGCUUCAGUGACAUGUUCAGUUGCCUUCUCU